ACAUUCAGAGAAUUUAGCAGAGAUGCUUUAGUGCCUUCGGGAACUCUGAGACAGGUGCUGCAUGGCUGUCGUCAGCUCGUGUUGUGAAAUGUUGGGUUAAGUCCCGCAACGAGCGCAACCCUUAUCCUUUGUUGCCAGCACGUAAUGGUGGGAACUCAAAGGAGACUGCCGGUGAUAAACCGGAGGAAGGUGGGGAUGACGUCAAGUCAUCAUGGCCCUUACGAGUAGGGCUACACACGUGCUACAAUGGCGCAUACAAAGAGAAGCGACCUCGCGAGAGCAAGCGGACCUCAUAAAGUGCGUCGUAGUCCGGAUUGGAGUCUGCAACUCGACUCCAUGAAGUCGGAAUCGCUAGUAAUCGUAAAUCAGAAUGUUACGGUGAAUACGUUCCCGGGCCUUGUACACACCGCCCGUCACACCAUGGGAGUGGGUUGCAAAAGAAGUAGAUAGCUUAACCUUCGGGAGGGCGUUUACCACUUUGUGAUUCAUGACUGGGGUGAAGUCGUAACAAGGUAGGCGUAGUGCU
rnacentral:rRNA from 1 species